CGAUCACUUUGCAGUUUUGCAGGGUAUCGUGUGUCUUACUUCUUGUGGUAUUUUGAAACAAAGUUUUCUCUUCAAAUUCCUUUCCCCUUUUAUUGUUAAAGCAAAGUGGAAUUAGAACAUUCAGACCCAGAUUGUGCCAGUGCUUUCAUAUGGAUGGAUUUUUUUGUUGUUGGAAGAGGGGGUGGCCAGAGGGUACAACCCCAGCUUUAUUCCAAUUGCAACUCCCAUGAUGCUCAGUGUUGGCAAAGAUCAG